GGAUACCGGUGCUUCUCACCACGUUACCCAUGAUCUCUCUACUCUCUCCUUGCAUCAUCCAUAUGAUGGCUCUGAAGAAGUAAUUAUAGGAUCGCCUCACGGGGGCACCACUCCUGAAAGGGCCGGCUAAGCAGGGACUCUAUGAGCUACCUCCAUCUUUGGCCAUUCUUGCACUCUCUUCCAUCAAAGCUCCCGCAAUAAAUUGGCAUCACAGAUUGGGCCAUCCCUCUAUUUCAAUUUUCAAACACAUUGUGUCUGAUUUCAAUCUUUCAGUAUCAAGCUCGUUUAAUUUUAAUUGUAACGCUUGCCAGUGUAAUAAAAGUCACAAACUCCCGUUUGC